rnacentral:rRNA from 1 species
UACAGAGGUCCCGAGCGUUGUUCGGAUUCACUGGGCGUAAAGGGUGCGUAGGUGGUGAGGUAAGUCGGAUGUGAAAGCUCGGAGCUCAACUCCGAAAUGGCAUUGGAAACUACCUUGCUUGAGGGUUGGAGGGGGGACUGGAAUACUUGGUGUAGCAGUGAAAUGCGUAGAUAUCAAGUGGAACACCAGUGGCGAAGGCGAGUCCCUGGACAACACCUGACACUGAGGCACGAAAGCUAGGGGAGCAAACAGG